UACAGAGGUCUCAAGCGUUGUUCGGAUUCAUUGGGCGUAAAGGGUGCGUAGGCGGCGCGGUAAGUCGGGUGUGAAAUCUCGGAGCUCAACUCUGAAACUGCACUCGAUACUGCUUUGCUCGAGGACUGGAGAGGAGAUUGGAAUUCACGGUGUAGCAGUGAAAUGCGUAGAUAUCGUGAGGAAGACCAGUGGCGAAGGCGGAUCUCUGGACAGUUCCUGACGCUGAGGCGCGAAGGCCAGGGGGAGCAAACGGG
rnacentral:rRNA from 1 species